UUAAGCGACUAAGCGUACACGGUGGAUGCCCUGGCAGUCAGAGGCGAUGAAGGACGUGCUAAUCUGCGAUAAGCGUCGGUAAGGUGAUAUGAACCGUUAUAACCGGCGAUUUCCGAAUGGGGAAACCCAGUGUGUUUCGACACACUAUCAUUAACUGAAUCCAUAGGUUAAUGAGGCGAACCGGGGGAACUGAAACAUCUAAGUACCCCGAGGAAAAGAAAUCAACCGAGAUUCCCCCAGUAGCGGCGAGCGAACGGGGAGCAGCCCAGAGCCUGAAUCAGUAUGUGUGUUAGUGGAAGCGUCUGGAAAGGCGCGCGAUACAGGGUGACAGCCCCGUACACAAAAAUGCACAUGCUGUGAGCUCGAUGAGUAGGGCGGGACACGUGGUAUCCUGUCUGAAUAUGGGGGGACCAUCCUCCAAGGCUAAAUACUCCUGACUGACCGAUAGUGAACCAGUACCGUGAGGGAAAGGCGAAAAGAACCCCGGCGAGGGGAGUGAAAAAGAACCUGAAACCGUGUACGUACAAGCAGUGGGAGCACGCUUAGGCGUGUGACUGCGUACCUUUUGUAUAAUGGGUCAGCGACUUAUAUUCUGUAGCAAGGUUAACCGAAUAGGGGAGCCGAAGGGAAACCGAGUCUUAACUGGGCGUUAAGUUGCAGGGUAUAGACCCGAAACCCGGUGAUCUAGCCAUGGGCAGGUUGAAGGUUGGGUAACACUAACUGGAGGACCGAACCGACUAAUGUUGAAAAAUUAGCGGAUGACUUGUGGCUGGGGGUGAAAGGCCAAUCAAACCGGGAGAUAGCUGGUUCUCCCCGAAAGCUAUUUAGGUAGCGCCUCGUGAACUCAUCUCCGGGGGUAGAGCACUGUUUCGGCAAGGGGGUCAUCCCGACUUACCAACCCGAUGCAAACUGCGAAUACCGGAGAAUGUUAUCACGGGAGACACACGGCGGGUGCUAACGUCCGUCGUGAAGAGGGAAACAACCCAGACCGCCAGCUAAGGUCCCAAAGUCAUGGUUAAGUGGGAAACGAUGUGGGAAGGCCCAGACAGCCAGGAUGUUGGCUUAGAAGCAGCCAUCAUUUAAAGAAAGCGUAAUAGCUCACUGGUCGAGUCGGCCUGCGCGGAAGAUGUAACGGGGCUAAACCAUGCACCGAAGCUGCGGCAGCGACGCUGAUGCGUUGUUGGGUAGGGGAGCGUUCUGUAAGCCUGCGAAGGUGUGCUGUGAGGCAUGCUGGAGGUAUCAGAAGUGCGAAUGCUGACAUAAGUAACGAUAAAGCGGGUGAAAAGCCCGCUCGCCGGAAGACCAAGGGUUCCUGUCCAACGUUAAUCGGGGCAGGGUGAGUCGACCCCUAAGGCGAGGCCGAAAGGCGUAGUCGAUGGGAAACAGGUUAAUAUUCCUGUACUUGGUGUUACUGCGAAGGGGGGACGGAGAAGGCUAUGUUGGCCGGGCGACGGUUGUCCCGGUUUAAGCGUGUAGGCUGGUUUUCCAGGCAAAUCCGGAAAAUCAAGGCUGAGGCGUGAUGACGAGGCACUACGGUGCUGAAGCAACAAAUGCCCUGCUUCCAGGAAAAGCCUCUAAGCAUCAGGUAACAUCAAAUCGUACCCCAAACCGACACAGGUGGUCAGGUAGAGAAUACCAAGGCGCUUGAGAGAACUCGGGUGAAGGAACUAGGCAAAAUGGUGCCGUAACUUCGGGAGAAGGCACGCUGAUAUGUAGGUGAGGUCCCUCGCGGAUGGAGCUGAAAUCAGUCGAAGAUACCAGCUGGCUGCAACUGUUUAUUAAAAACACAGCACUGUGCAAACACGAAAGUGGACGUAUACGGUGUGACGCCUGCCCGGUGCCGGAAGGUUAAUUGAUGGGGUUAGCGCAAGCGAAGCUCUUGAUCGAAGCCCCGGUAAACGGCGGCCGUAACUAUAACGGUCCUAAGGUAGCGAAAUUCCUUGUCGGGUAAGUUCCGACCUGCACGAAUGGCGUAAUGAUGGCCAGGCUGUCUCCACCCGAGACUCAGUGAAAUUGAACUCGCUGUGAAGAUGCAGUGUACCCGCGGCAAGACGGAAAGACCCCGUGAACCUUUACUAUAGCUUGACACUGAACAUUGAGCCUUGAUGUGUAGGAUAGGUGGGAGGCUUGGAAGUGUGGACGCCAGUCUGCAUGGAGCCGACCUUGAAAUACCACCCUUUAAUGUUUGAUGUUCUAACGUUGACCCGUAAUCCGGGUUGCGGACAGUGUCUGGUGGGUAGUUUGACUGGGGCGGUCUCCUCCUAAAGAGUAACGGAGGAGCACGAAGGUUGGCUAAUCCUGGUCGGACAUCAGGAGGUUAGUGCAAUGGCAUAAGCCAGCUUGACUGCGAGCGUGACGGCGCGAGCAGGUGCGAAAGCAGGUCAUAGUGAUCCGGUGGUUCUGAAUGGAAGGGCCAUCGCUCAACGGAUAAAAGGUACUCCGGGGAUAACAGGCUGAUACCGCCCAAGAGUUCAUAUCGACGGCGGUGUUUGGCACCUCGAUGUCGGCUCAUCACAUCCUGGGGCUGAAGUAGGUCCCAAGGGUAUGGCUGUUCGCCAUUUAAAGUGGUACGCGAGCUGGGUUUAGAACGUCGUGAGACAGUUCGGUCCCUAUCUGCCGUGGGCGCUGGAGAACUGAGGGGGGCUGCUCCUAGUACGAGAGGACCGGAGUGGACGCAUCACUGGUGUUCGGGUUGUCAUGCCAAUGGCACUGCCCGGUAGCUAAAUGCGGAAGAGAUAAGUGCUGAAAGCAUCUAAGCACGAAACUUGCCCCGAGAUGAGUUCUCCCUGACCCUUUAAGGGUCCUGAAGGAACGUUGAAGACGACGACGUUGAUAGGCCGGGUGUGUAAGCGCAGCGAUGCGUUGAGCUAACCGGUACUAAUGAACCGUGAGGCUUAACCUU
rnacentral:rRNA from 1 species